rnacentral:rRNA from 1 species
AUUGAACGCUAGCGGGAUGCCUUACACAUGCAAGUCGAACGGAGUGGCGAACGGGUGAGGAAUGUAUCGGAACGUGCCCAGUAGCGGGGGAUAACUACGCGAAAGCGUAGCUAAUACCGCAUACUAUUGGAGCGGCCGUUAUCGUAGUAGCUAGUUGGUGGGGUAACGGCUCACCAAGGCGACGAUCCGUAGCUGGUUUGAGAGGACGACCAGCCACCCUGGUCCGGAGACACGGCCCAGACUCCUACGGGAGGCAGCAGUCGGGAAUUUUGGACAAGGGGGGGUACCCUGAUCCAGCCAUCCCGCGGGUUCGAUGAGGUCCUUCGGGUUGUAAAGCACUUUUGGCAGGAAAGCGGUACCUGCAGAAUAAGCACCGGCUAACUACGUGCCAGCCGCCGCGGUAAUUC